CUUGUCAGGGAGGAUGAACCCACACUGACCCGUCGUGAUCACACACAGGUGGUACCUGUGCACGUGAGCGUUCACUUGGGUGUGUACAGCCCAUGGGUUUGGGCAAACGUGUGAUGACAGGUGUCGUAUGGAGUAUUUUCACUGCCCUAAAACCCUCUGUGCUCCUUUCGUACACAUCUCCCCUCCCCUUCGCUCCCCUCCCUCUGCUCCCUUCUGCUCCCCUCCCGUCCCCUCCUCUCAUUCACCCUCCCCUCCCCUCCCUCCUCUCCCAUUGUUCACACCUCCCCUCCCUCCUCUCCCCUCCCCUCCCUUCCCUUCAUUCACACCUCCCCUCCCCUUCUUACCCUCCUUCCCCUCACCUCCCUUCCCUUCCCUCCCUCUUCCUUCCCCCUCCCCUCCCUUCCCUUCCUCCCUCUUCCUUCCCCUCCCCGCCCUUCCCUUCCCUCCCCCUUCCUUCCCUCCCCUCCCCUCCCCCUUCCUCCCCUCCCCCUCCUCCCUCCCCCUCCUCCCUCCCCUCCCCUCCCCUCCCUUCCCCUCAUUCACACCUCCCCUCCCCUCCCCUCCCCUCCUUCCCCUCCUUCCCCUCCUUCCCCUCCCCCUUCCUCCCCUCCCCCUUCCUCCCCUCCCUUCCCCUCCCUUCCCUCCCCUCCCCUUCCUUCCCCUCCCCUCCCUUCCCUUCCCUCCCCUCCUUCCCCUCCCCUCCCCUUCCUUCCCCUCCCCCUUCCUUCCCCUCCCCUCCCUUCCCUUCCCCUCCCCUCCUUCCCCUCCCCUCCCUUCCCUUCCCUCCCCCUUCCUUCCCCUCCCCUCCCUUCCCUUCCCUCCCCCUUCCUUCCCCUCCCCUCCCCUCCCCUCCCUUCCCUUCCCUCCCCUCCCCUUCGCUCCCCUCCCUCCUCUCCCCUCCCGUCCCCUCCUCUCAUUCACACCUCCCCUCCCCUCCCUUCCCCUCCCCUCCCCUCCUUCCCCUCCCCUCCUUCCCUCCCCCUUCCUCCCCUCCCUUCCCCUCCCUUCCCUCCCCUCCUUCCCUUCCCCUCCCCUCCCCUCCCCCUUCCUUCCCCUCCUUCCCCUCCCCUCCCUUCCCCUCCCCUCCCCUUCCUUCCCUCCCCUCCCCUCCCCUCCCCUCCCCUCCCCUCCUUCCCCUCCCCUCCUUCCCUUCCCUCCCCCUUCCUUCCCUCCCCUCCCCCUUCCUUCCCUCCCCUCCUUCCCCUCCCCUCCCUUCCCUUCCCUUCCUCCCCUCCCUUCCCCUCCCCUUCCUCCCCCUUCCUUCCCCUCCCCUCCCCUCCCCUUCCUCCCCCUUCCUUCCCUCCCCUCCCUUCCCUUCCCUCCCCCUUCCUUCCCCUCCCCUCCCUUCCCUCCCCCCCCUCCUUCCCUCCCCUCCUUCCCUUCCUCCCCUCCCUUCCCUCCCCUCCUUCCCUUCCUCCCCUCCCCCUUCCUCCCCUCCCCUCCUCCCUCCCCUCCCCUCCUUCCCCUCAUUCACACCUCCCCUCCCCUCCUUCCCCUCCCCUCCCCUCCCUUCCCUCCCCUCCUUCCCUUCCCCUCCCCUCCCCUCCCCCUUCCUUCCCCUCCCCCCCUCCCUUCCCUUCCUCCCCCUCCUUCCCCUCCCCUCCCUUCCCCUCCCUUCCCUUCCCCUCCCCUUCCUCCCCUCCCCUCCCUUCCCUCCCCUCCCCUCCUUCCCCUCCCCUCCCUUCCCUUCCCUCCCCCUUCCUUCCCUCCCCUCCUUCCCUUCCCUUCCUCCCCUCCCCUCCCUUCCCUCCCCUCCCUUCCCCUCCCCUUCCUCCCCUCCCUUCCCUCCUCCUGCCUCCCCUCCCCUCCUUCCCUCCCCUCCCCUCCCCUUCCUCCCCUCCCCUCCCCUCCUUCCCUCCCCUCCCUU
ensembl:lncRNA